CAGGACGAACGCUGGCGGCGUGCUUAACACAUGCAAGUCGAACGGGAGUAUUGAAGAAGCUUGCUCUAGAGAUACUUUAGUGGCGGACGGGUGAGUAACGCGUGAGGAGCUGUCCUAUGCAGGGGGACAACAGCUGGAAACGGCUGCUAAUACCCCCAUAAGCCGAGAGGUAAAAGGAUCAAUCCGGCAGAGGAGGUACUCGCGUCCUAUCAGCUAGUAGGUGAGGUAACGGCUCACCUAGGCGAAGACGGGUAGCCGGCCUGAGAGGGCGAACGGCCACACUGGAACUGAGAUACGGUCCAGACUCCUACGGGAGGCAGCAGUGGGGAAUAUUGGGCAAUGGGGGGAAAAACCCCCUGACCCAGCGACGCCGCGUGGGUGAAGAAAUCCUUCGGGAUGUAAAGCCCUGUUGUAUGGGAAGAGCGGAAGACGGUACCAUACGAGGAAGCCCCGGCAAACUACGUGCCAGCCGCCGC
rnacentral:rRNA from 1 species